CUUUCUUUGAACCUUUCCUUUCUUUUUGUAGAAAGCAUAAGUGCGCAUGGCAAGUUAGAGAAACGAAAACAAGAAAUCUGUCCCAAGUGACUUACAGUUUGUUACCCCAAAGUGGUGACCAUUCAGUGUUUAGAAAGACACAGACUUCAGCCUGUCUGUGACCAGGACCUUUUCUGCAAUCUAACAGAAUUAAGGUACAGCUUCAGUUCCCUCAGUGGUCGCCGCUCAGGUCAGAAAAGAGGCGAAAGACAGAUCUACAGCCUGCCCUUUUAUUGUUCACACCCCAAAGUUCAAAGAAUAUACACUUUUUUCAGUGCCUAUCUAGCUAUGUAAAAUAGUGCAAUAUAGAUUCUCACCUUUAUCAGCUGGGGAUAUUUGGGGAGCGGAAGUGGGGUAGCAGCUUGCCGAUUUGCAGCGUGUCAUCUUCAUUUGUGGAAUUCUCCAAUUUUCCUUCCAGCUCACAUCCUAUAUUUACAGGGAGCUUAUUUUAAUGUUUUAAUAAACAUUAAAACAUUCAUUCAGAUUUCUUUGUUUCACUGAAACUUUAGCACCUGGAAUGACACCAGUCUUCUGGUGGAUGGAGAAGAUGUCAGUUAGCUGGGAUUGAUGUCCUUGUGAAGUUACAACUCCGCAGCAGAGGAUUUCUUAUCUCCUCCUUUGCUAUCACUGUUUGCAACCCCCCUGUUUUCUUUUUGCCUUUGUUCAUGGGCUUCACUGACCAGGCUGCUUUGUUUCUAAAGUUUAUCUAAGACAUUUAAAAUAAAUGCCUCUAUUAUAGCAAAGCCACUGGUAUAUUGAGUGCUCUUGGUUCUAACAGUCAUUCCUACUAACAUUAUCAAACUAAAGGUGUGAUAUAUCGCUUUUCAAUGAUCUGUUGUAAGCCUUCCUUACUAUUAUGUCAUCUUUGUGACUCUUUGCUCUAGUUUUCUCUGGACGUAUUAAUUGCUUUCUUUCAUUGACCAGGCUAGUUGUCAUGUCUGCAAAAGUUCACUCCUGCUUAAGCUUCAGUUCUGUAGCUUGGUACAGGCCUCUUGAAAAUGGCCCAGACUGGCAACAAGUGAUUAUACAUUUCCACUGAGCAUGCUGUGCUCAUUUAACAAGAACACAGUAUUCUUGUAAUAGGAUCCUACCAGGGGUCAGUAGGCUGGAUCUGGCCUGUGGAGCAACUGGAUCUGGAUCUGGCCCACAGAAUCCCAGGGCUUUGUUUGUGCCGAGCCUGUGCCUGCACUGGGGCCGGGCAACUUCCAGCUACCCCCUUGCCACUGCUACUUUUGACGCUUUCCCAGACCAUAGAAAAGAACAUUUUCAGUCUAGUUUUUGAAUCUCAGUGAAACAAAAAAAUUGAGACUGGAGUGUGCAGUGAAAUAUGAAAGUUUGCAUAUGGUACAAAAUUAUUCUGGGUAAUCAGUUCCCAAGCAGAUGGCGAGCUGAUGUCUGUGGUGUCUAUGCUCAAGUUCUUGCUGGUCCAGUCCUGUGCCCCAAGGCUCACGUUGAAGUCCUCAUGGGGCGCAUCUACCCAAGACGCUUACUGCACAUUAGCCUAAUAACACUGCGCAGUAGCGCAUCACAGCACAAACCGUGCUAAUCACCUACUGCACCUACUGUGCUAUGAGGCUAAUGCGCAGUAAGCAUCACUAAAUAACCGUGCGCUGGCACUACUGCACAGUAACUCCAGGUACUGAGCAUUUAGUCAGUACUUUAUUAAGCAAGUACUACAAUAAAUGCACAGUAUCUAAGAUGUGCACAUGGACAUAUAAACAUGCGCGCUGAGGACCAGGCACUCGUGAGGACUCAGGGUGCUGAGGUAGUGGGUUCUUGCUGAUCAGCGCUGUGAGUGGGGGUGCCGACCUUAGCCAGGUUCAAGAUAGCCCCUGCGUUUGGGCCCAGAGAUGGGCCAGGCAGCCAGCACCGCCUCAGCCAUUUGCAGGAUUUCCAUCUGCAGCCCUGGGGAGAACAGGGUUGCCCCAUCCUGUCUCUGUGGGGUGGCUGAAGUAGACCCUGUCCCCCAACUCCAGCUGCCACCUGGCUUCAGUUGUGGGGUCAUGUAAGUUUUCUGCAGGAAUAGUACAGAGUGCACCCCUGUCCAAAUGGACCUGAGGAGACCUGUCCUGCAGCCAUGGAUGCUGAGGCGGUGAUGGUGAGGGUCCUCAGGGCUGAGGGUUGCUGGGAGACUCAGUGGGGGCUCAUGAGGGACAGUGCCAGUCGCAGGGCCAGCAGCAACUGCAUUCUCCUUCUGCAGAUGAGACGGUGUUGUGAAAGCGGUGGGCCUGCUGGAAAUCUCUGCCAUUCUGCCUCCUGGGCCCCUUGCCCUCCCUCCACAGAGCCUUCCUUCCUGGCACAAGGAUCUGGUGAUAAUCCCCACAGCCAUCCUGAGAGUUCAUAGCCAAGGACUUACCAGUUUUUACUUAUGAUGAGAAGGGAGACCUGAUAACUGAUAAUCCAUAUAUUCAAGUUGCUUUGCCUGAACCCUGCAUCUUUUCUCGCUGUCUAAAGUAUAAAUACGCUUGCAAAUUUGUAGAGGUCAGAGUUCCUUUGAGAACUCUCCCUGUGAUCACUUGUAUAGUUUUAAAUAAACCUAGAUGGCUCUGCCAAUUCUAAUACAACCACAACGCGAAGUUUGAUUUCUUCCACACCAGUUGAAGUAGCGCCUGAUGAACAUCCAAGUCGCUAAGAGGGAGCUGCCCGAGUAAAGGACGGGGAUGUGGUACAUGGGAGGUCCCUUGAAGGGGCCAGCAGUGGGAUGACCCAGUCUCUCCCCGUGAUGCCCUGCAGGUGCGGUUUGUGCUGGUGGGUAGUUGUAGUUCUCCCUGCAAGCUGUGAGCUUGUGAGUUGCUGAAUCCUGUUCCUAAUAAAGAUCAAGCUG